UCUCUCUCUCUCUCACAUGCACCUUGGAGCCCAGCCCAAGCUAACGAGGUUGGAUUUCGAUUAAAAUCCAUCUAGUUCCCAACAACUGUGAUGAUGGCUGCUAACAUUUGUUUAUUUUUAAAUUUUUCCUAUCUCUCUCUCUCACACACUUCAUCCAUGAAAGAAUAAAACCAAAAGGAAGGAAGGAAGGAAGAAAGAAAGAAAGAGGAGAUCGAAACACGAACAGGAAAGAGAAAUUAAGGUUGAAAUGAUUUUUUUGGGGGGGUUAUUUUUUAAGUGAGGGUUGGUUGGUUCUUAUUUUCAAAAGACACAUAAAUAAUAAUCUAUGUUAUUUCUCCAAUUCUACAAUAGUAAAGCCAAAAAAAAAAAAAAAGAAAGAAGGAAGGCAAAAGGACAAAGAAAAAGGAGGGUGGAAGGCGAGAAUCACAGACGAACGGAAUCAUGACCUUAGUCCGUCCAACUCUCCAAUCAGGACUUGACGUUCGGCCUCCCUCCGAUCAGGAGAUGCACGGCCAUCCUCUUCCUCUCCGCCCUUCCCUUUCUCCUGGGGUCCAGAUUCCGAUGCCUUUUCUUCCUUCCCAUUCCAUCCGAUCCCCUUCCCCCCGCUCUCUCUCUCGCUCUCUCUUAACUCCGAUUCCGGUGUUACCUUCACCACCUCAAUAAUUGCCGCAGGCAGCCUGAGUAUUCCAUGGAUAAUCGCCUUCAUCCGUCCGCUUCGCGUCCUCACAACGGCGUAGGCGGCGGCCGGGAGGAUUGCUGGAGCGAGGGCGCCACCGAGACGCUGAUCGAGGCCUGGGGCGAUCGUUAUCUGCAGCUCAACCGCGGCAACCUCCGUCAGAAGGACUGGAAGGAGGUCGCCGACGUAGUCAACGGUCGCGACAAUGGCCUCAAGCCCCGCCGGACCGACGUCCAGUGCAAGAACCGCAUCGACACGCUCAAGAAGAAGUACAAACUCGAGAAGUCGAAAAUUGUUCCCUCCAAGUGGCCCUUCUACUUCCGCCUCGAUCACCUCAUUGGAUCUGCCAUCGCCCCGUCCAACAAGAAAAUUGGCGUACGCUCCCCCUCGUUUCACAAGCCUUCUACUACCGUUACUUUCACUGUCAAAUCAAGGCCGAAAUUAAGCCCUAGCCGUCAGGUCGUGGUUUACUCUGGUGGUUCUUCGAGGAUGAACUCGAGUGGCUCCAAUGGGAGCUCGUUCGGUGGUGGCGAAAGAGACGGUGAUGUGAGGAAGCAUAGUAGGGUGGAUUAUGUGGAUUUUUCCGAGGAGAGUGCGUACAAGGAAUUGGCGAGGGCGAUUCUGAGGUUUGGGGAAGUAUACGAGAGGAUCGAGAGUUCGAAGCAGCAACAAAUGAUGGAGUUGGAGAAGCAGAGAAUGGAAUUCACCAAGGAUCUUGAGUUGCAGAGGAUGAAUAUGUUUAUGGAAGCUCAACUCGAGCUUCAGAAGAUGAAAACUCCCCCCAAGUAUAGGCCUGGUGAAGAGGCUAGACUUACGGUUUUGUUGAGGCCUUGCCCUUUUCUCGAGGAAACAUGCUCUUGAUCAAUCACAGGGAAGCUAUGUCAACUGUUGGCAAAUGGGAGAUCUGGGAAGUAACUGUGGGGGCAUAGUUACUGGAUCGUAUGGGGCUGUGAAAUGAAGGGAGACUUGAGUGCACUUUUUGAAUGGAUAAGCCUGCCUUUUAUGGUGUAGGUGGGCUUCUUGUUCAAGGACAACCUUCUAAGGUUGGAAUUGUCCAAGGACAAUGGUUUGUUCUCCUUGGGAAGAUAAAUUGGAGUGUUGCUUCUUGCUCUGGGGAGGCAGUCAUCAGAGUAUUCUUGAGCUCUCAAACAACCAGUCUAUGUGCCAAAUAUGCUAGGUAGGUGCUAAGAACAAGGAUAUGGAUCCAUGAGAAGUGUUCUGUUGUUGCUUCUAGUUGUCUCAUAAUAGGCGAUCUUUUCCUUGUUGAUUUCAAGCUGAUGGUCCCUCCAUUUGAAGGGAUGAACUCAAUGUUUCUGAACUGCAGCCAACAGUCAGCAAGCCUCUCAGGAUCCCAUGGGAGAAGGUUCCUGUGCACCACAGCUAGGUUCCAGUAGCAUCGUGGCGAAAACAAAUUGCUAGUGUGCUAGAGGAGGCAGGAUCUUCCAGGUGCCUUGCUUAACUAUUUGGGUUUGAGCAUGGAACCCAAUUGGCGGCUAGCUGGUUUGGGUUGGAGGCUUUCUUAGCAAGGGGAGAUGGGAAGAUCAAGGGGGCUUUAUUAGUGAAGUAAAGGGUGUUAUAGUCAUUUUCUGGCUUAAAGUGAACUGCAAUCGGAUGCUUUAUCAAGCUUGCUAUGGACAUCCGGCACACAUAAAAUGGGAAAAGGAAAAUCCGGCAUCCAAUGUAUAUCAUGUUUGAAGAGUUUUUCUAUAGGAUUCUGGCCAAGCUAGCAUUGUUUUCAUCAUGUAAUUUAUUGUGGCAGGAUUUGUUCUGUUUUUUAGUAUCAGAGUUGUUGGGUGUCACAUGAUAAUAACACUGACAUGCUCUAAGACUGAAUUGUGCUUGACCAGCAUGUAUGGGAAGUUAAAAAUUCUGUGAGGCCUGACACCAGCCUUUGGUUCCUAACCUGAGUAAAAGUUGGUUUGAGCAUGUGCCCAGUUUGCUUCAAUUCCAUGUUAAGGUUGGAAUAUCCAGGUCAUCUAAGAUGGCUCUGCCAGACAUGGUUUCAGCCUUGUACUCUAAUCUGAGAAACAUCUGGUCCAAGUUGUGGACGUAUUGUUCAAUUAACUGUUUUGGGCGUGGAAAUUCAUCUAUCAUCACUUAUUCAUCAAGGAGUUGUCCAUAAAAAAGGGAAAAAGUUAUAGCUAACAUUUUCUGAAAGUGAAGCGGAAGCAGAUGUCAUUGUUAGCUGGGGCUCUGGUGUGUUCUGGACUCUUUAACUGUGUAGUGGAAUCCUACAUGAAUUAGCAGCUUCAGAUUAAUAUGUUUGAAGGAAUUGGAAUUUGGAGGGGACCUAACUGUAUUAUAUAAAAAAAUUUCUUAUUUAUGGUGUACAUAUUAGUUAUUCUGCUACCAAUUGUAAUAUUCAUGCCUGCUAUUAACUUGUGUUGUCUAUGUGGAUAUUUUUGAGUAAAAUUAACUAUGUCUAUGUGAAUGACAAGAGCAUUGUCAA